rnacentral:rRNA from 1 species
AGUGGAUGGGGAGCAACCUAGUUGUGCGUGUGUAAAGGUAGUGCCAAGAAAAGCGAUGAUCAUGUUGAAAAUCAAUUCCCGGUACCCGAAACCGACACAGGUGGGCAAGUAGAGAAUACUAAGGGGCGCGAGGUAACUCUCUCCAAGGAACUCGGCAAAAUGACCCCGUAACUUAGGGAGAAGGGGUGCCACCGAGAGGUGGUCGCAGUGAAGAGGCCCAGGCGACUGUUUAGCAAAAACAUAGGUCUCUGCAAACUCGAAAGAGGAGGUAUAGGGGCUGACGCCUGCCCAGUGCCGGAAGGUUAAAGAAGUUGGUCAGUUUUAGGAUGAAGCUAGCGACUGAAGCCCCGGUGAACGGCGGCCGUAACUAUAACGGUCCUAAGGUAGCGAAAUUCCUUGUCGGGUAAGUUCCGACCCGCACGAAAGGCGUAACGAUCUGGGCGCUGUCCCGGAGAGAGGCUCGGCGAAAUAGGAUUGUCUGUGAAGAUACGGACUACCUGCAUUUGGACAGAAAGACCCUAUGAAGCUUUACUAUAGCUUGGAAUUGUGUUCGGGCUUCCUGUGCGCAGGAUAGGUGGGAGGCGUAGAAGGUAUUCUUGUGGGGAUACUGGAGCCAACGGUGAGAUACCACUCUCAGGAGGCUAGAAUUCUAACUUAAUUAAGGACAGUUUCAGGUGGGUAGUUUGACUGGGGCGGUCGCCUCCAAAAAGGUAACGGAGGCGUACAAAGGUUCCCUCAGACUGGUUGGAAAUCAGUCGAAGAGUGCAAAGGCAGAAGGGAGCUUGACUGCGAGAAGUACAGUUCGAGCAGGGUGGAAACACGGUCUUAGUGAUCCGACGGUGCUGUGUGGAAGGGCCGUCGCUCAACGGAUAAAAGUUACUCUAGGAUAACAGGCUGAUCUCCCCCAAGAGUUCACAUCGACGGGGAGGUUUGGCACCUCGAUGUCGGCUCAUCGCAACCUGGGGCGGAAGUACGUCCCAAGGGUUGGGCUGUUCGCCCAUUAAAGCGGUACGUGAGCUGGGUUCAGAACGUCGUGAGACAGUUCGGUCCAUAUCCGAUGUAGGCGUGAGAAUAUUGAGAGGAGCCUUCCUUAGUACGAGAGGACCGGGAAGGACGCACCGCUGGUGUACCUGUUAUGAUGCCAAUUGUAAACGCAGGGUAGCCAAGUGCGGAGAGGAUAACCGCUGAAAGCAUCUAAGUGGGAAGCCCACCUCAAGAUGAGUAUUCUGGUGUAAGGUCACGGGAAGACGACCCGUAAAUAGGCACGAGGUGGAAGUGCAGAGAUGUAUGAAGCCGAAGUGUACUAAUAGGCCGUCGGCUUG